rnacentral:rRNA from 1 species
AUACGUAGGUGGCAAGCGUUAUCCGGAUUUACUGGGCGUAAAGGGCGUGUAGGCGGUCUUGCAAGUCAGAAGUGAAAUUCCUGAGCUCAACUCGGGCGCUGCUUCUGAAACUGCAGGACUUGAGUGCUGGAGGGGAUAGCGGAAUUCCUAGUGGAGCGGUAAAAUGCGCAGAUAUUAGGAAGAACACCGGUGGCGAAGGCGGCUAUCUGGACAGUAACUGACGCUGAGGCGCGAAAGCGUGGGGAGCAAACAGGAUUAGAUACCCCGGUAGUCCACGCCGUAAACGAUGAAUACUAGGUGUAGGGGGUAUCGACUCCCUCUGUGCCGCAGUUAACACAAUAAGUAUUCCGCCUGGGGAGUACGGCCGCAAGGUUGAAACUCAAAUGAAUUGACGGGG